CAUACACACACUUCCUCUGAACCUUCAUACUCACUUCAAUACGCACACUCACUUUCACUUUGCCAGUGUGAGUCUUGUACACAUGUGGCUUGUGGCCGUGCUGGAGCUGGCCACAUCUCAGCCGAUACCCAGUUCAGCACGCUGGCUUUCUUCCAGCCAACUAUAAUGGGGGAAUAUUUUUCCAGCCUCCAAGUUUUCCCGAAGCAGUGCACAGUGCAUUUUAAUAAAGCCUGGUGCUCUGCAUUGUGCGCAUUGGCUGAACUGUGCCGGGCUGUGCUGAGCUAUGCAGCCACAUAUGGGAGUGAUUACAGUCCAGUGUUUAUCAGACCUCACUGAGGGACUGACUGUACGACUGAGCAGAGCAGAACCAUGAGCCUUGCGCACACCGCCUCAAUUUCCGAACUACAACCUUCUAUGGAAGUCAGACCAGUGAGACGACACUGCAUCAACACGUCGCGAGAGAUCACAGGUCCUGGACGCGGCAUCUUCUUCAGGCUCGAGUGAAUGUGGCUAAAUGAUCAAUAUAAAGUUGUCCGGCAGCUAUUUGUGAUUCGAUUAGCGAGUUAGAUACUGUUGAAGCAAAGGAAUGACAAUUUGACAAUUUAUCAAAGUCUGUGUGUGCAAAAUAAAAAAAAUAAAUAAAAAGUCAUUCAAA